GAUGAACGCUGGCGGCGUGCCUAAUACAUGCAAGUCGAGCGAACAGACGAGGAGCUUGCUCCUUCGACGUUAGCGGCGGACGGGUGAGUAACACGUAGGUAACCUACCUAUAAGACUGGGAUAACUUCGGGAAACCGGAGCUAAUACCGGAUAAUAUUUCGAACCGCAUGGUUCGAUAGUGAAAGAUGGCUUUGCUAUCACUUAUAGAUGGACCUGCGCCGUAUUAGCUAGUUGGUAAGGUAACGGCUUACCAAGGCAACGAUACGUAGCCGACCUGAGAGGGUGAGCGGCCACACUGGAACUGAGACACGGUCCAGACUCCUACGGGAGGCAGCAGUAGGGAAUCCUCCGCAAUGGGCGAAAGCCUGACGGAGCAACGCCGCGUGAGUGAUGAAGGUCUUCGGAUCGUAAAACUCUGUUAUUAGGGAAGAACAAACGUGUAAGUAACUGUGCACGUCUUGACGGUACCUAAUCAGAAAGCCACGGCUAACUACGUG
rnacentral:rRNA from 1 species